GGAGCCGGGCUGCGGAGGCAGCGGGCGGCGCGCAGGGGCGCCGGGAGAGGGGCGAGGCCGCCGCCGCUACGCGCCCGGGCCCGCGGCGAAGGCGCUGCCGCGAAGACGCCUGGCGCUGCAGUCCCAGGAAGCUUUUCAACAUCGUGAGGAUUGCAUAAUCAACUCUGAACAUCUGGAAUAGGAGCCUGACUGAACAGAGCAGAAGUGAACUUUCCCGGAGCUCCCAUACUCCAUCCACUCAACUCAACAAAUGUUGACUUAGUGCCUAUGAUGUACAGCACUCAGUGCUAAAAUGCAGUAGGGAAAUAAAUAAGUCUCUUUGGUCUGAUUGAAA